UUUCCAUUUUUCCACUUCCUUUUCAUUAUAGGAAAGUGAUAAAUUUAAAUUAUCAGUGGUUGUUAAUGUUAAAAUUAAUCCAGGUCCUUCUAUGGCUGCUAGUUUUACAGCAACAUCUGCUCGGUCAUUUCCUCUAGAGACAGGGUCAGAGCCACCUGUAUGGGCAGAGCAAUGAACUACAGCUAGGGCUUUAGGCAGUUUGAGAGCAGAAAGAACUUCAUUAAUAAUUUCUGCAUUAGCUAUGGAUUUUCCAGCUGAGGUUAAAAAACCUCUCUGGAGCCAUAGCAUCCCGACUGAGUGACAAAUGCCAAAAGCAUAUCUAGAAUCCGUAUAAAUUGUUGCCUUUUUAUCCUUGGCAAUUAUACAAGCUUGUUUUAGAGCUAUGAGUUCUGCUCCUUGAGCGCUAAUGUUAGAAGGUAGUGAAGCUGACCAUUCAGUGGCAAAUUCUGAGACUACGGCAGCUCCAGUGUAACGUAUGCCAUCCCUCAUAAAAGAGGAACCAUCGGGAAAUAAAAUCAGAUCUGCAUUGUCUAAGGGAGUGUCCAAGAGAUUAUCUCGAGGCUUUUCUGCCAUGGACACUAAUGUUUCACAGUUAUGUAAUGGUUCUCCUGAAGUAGGUAAAUCUGGAAGCAAGGUGGCAGGGUUAAGAGUUGAACAGCGUUUCAAGGUCCUUCUAUGGCUGCUAGUUUUACAGCAACAUCUGCUCGGUCAUUUCCUCUAGAGACAGGGUCAGAGCCACCUGUAUGGGCAGAGCAAUGAACUACAGCUAGGGCUUUAGGCAGUUUGAGAGCAGAAAGAACUUCAUUAAUAAUUUCUGCAUUAGCUAUGGAUUUUCCAGCUGAGGUUAAAAAACCUCUCUGGAGCCAUAGCAUCCCGACUGAGUGACAAAUGCCAAAAGCAUAUCUAGAAUCCGUAUAAAUUGUUGCCUUUUUAUCCUUGGCAAUUAUACAAGCUUGUUUUAGAGCUAUGAGUUCUGCUCCUUGAGCGCUAAUGUUAGAAGGUAGUGAAGCUGACCAUUCAGUGGCAAAUUCUGAGACUACGGCAGCUCCAGUGUAACGUAUGCCAUCCCUCAUAAAAGAGGAACCAUCGGGAAAUAAAAUCAGAUCUGCAUUGUCUAAGGGAGUGUCC
rnacentral:lncRNA from 1 species